UACGUAGGGUCCGAGCGUUGUCCGGAAUUAUUGGGCGUAAAGGGCUCGUAGGCGGUCUGUUGCGUCGGGAGUGAAAACUUACAGCUUAACUGUGAGCGUGCUUCCGAUACGGGCAGACUUGAGGUAUUCAGGGGAGAACGGAAUUCCUGGUGUAGCGGUGAAAUGCACAGAUAUCAGGAGGAACACCGGUGGCGAAGGCGGUUCUCUGGGCCUUACCUGACGCUGAGGAGCGAAAGCGUGGGGAGCAAACAGG
rnacentral:rRNA from 1 species